rnacentral:rRNA from 1 species
UGGGGAAUAUUGCACAAUGGGCGAAAGCCUGAUACAGCAACGCCGCGUGAGCGAAGAAGGUCUUCGGAUCGUAAAGCUCUGUCCUUGGGGAAGAUAAUGACGGUACCCUUGGAGGAAGCCCCGGCUAACUACGUGCCAGCAGCCGCGGUAAUACGUAGGUGGCAAGCGUUAUCCGGAUUUACUGGGUGUAAAGGGCGCGUAGGCGGGGAUGCAAGUCAGAUGUGAAAUCUAUGGGCUUAACCCAUAAACUGCAUUUGAAACUGUAUCUCUUGAGUGUCGGAGAGGUAGACGGAAUUCCUAGUGUAGCGGUGAAAUGCGUAGAUAUUAGGAGGAACACCAGUGGCGAAGGCGGUCUACUGGACGAUAACUGACGCUGAGGCGCGAAAGCGUGGGGAGCAAACAGGAUUAGAUACCCUGGUAGU